rnacentral:rRNA from 1 species
GACGAACGCUGGCGGCGUGCUUAACACAUGCAAGUCGAACGGAAAGGCCCUGCUUUUGUGGGGUGCUCGAGUGGCGAACGGGUGAGUAACACGUGAGUAACCUGCCCUUGACUUUGGGAUAACUUCAGGAAACUGGGGCUAAUACCGGAUAGGAGCUCCUGCUGCAUGGGGGGGGUUGGAAAGUUUCGGCGGUGUGGGAUGGACUCGCGGGUUAUCAGCUUGUUGGUGGGGUAGUGGCUUACCAAGGCUUUGACGGGUAGCCGGCCUGAGAGGGUGACCGGCCACAUUGGGACUGCGAUACGGCCCAGACUCCUACGGUAGGCAGCAGUGGGGAAUAUUGCACAAUGGGCGGAAGCCUGAUGCAGCAACGCCGCGUUCGUGAUGACGGCCUUCGGGUUGUAAACCGCUUUCGCCUGUGACGAAGCGUGAGUGACGGUAAUGGGUAAAGAAGCACCGGCUAACUACGUG